GGAGGGAUCAUUACACAAAUAUGAAGGCGGGCUGGAACCUCUCGGGGUUACAGCCUUGCUGAAUUAUUCACCCUUGUCUUUUGCGUACUUCUUGUUUCCUUGGUGGGUUCGCCCACCACUAGGACAAACAUAAACCUUUUGUAAUUGCAAUCAGCGUCAGUAACAAAUUAAUAAUUACAACUUUCAACAACGGAUCUCUUGGUUCUGGCAUCGAUGAAGAACGCAGCGAAAUGCGAUAAGUAGUGUGAAUUGCAGAAUUCAGUGAAUCAUCGAAUCUUUGAACGCACAUUGCGCCCUUUGGUAUUCCAAAGGGCAUGCCUGUUCGAGCGUCAUUUGUACCCUCAAGCUUUGCUUGGUGUUGGGCGUCUUGUCUCUAGCUUUGCUGGAGACUCGCCUUAAAGUAAUUGGCAGCCGGCCUACUGGUUUCGGAGCGCAGCACAAGUCGCACUCUCUAUCAGCAAAGGUCUAGCAUCCAUUAAGCCUUUUUUCAACUUUUGACCUCGGAUCAGGUAGGGAUACCCGCUGAACUUAAGCAUAUCAAUAAGCGGAGGAA
rnacentral:rRNA from 1 species